UUUUCAUUUGGAUGCAUCACCGGGAGAAACGAUUACAUUUGUUGCUAUAAAGCGAGGAACGCGUAAAGGAGAGAUUUAAUGACGAUAUCCGCUAAGACUGCGUCGCCUGCGCCCCUCUCCCCACCCCCACACAAAAAGAAACAACAAAAAAGAUGCUCUCACAAUUUCAUGCAUGACAGAACUUUUUGUCAGAGCAAAGGGAUAGAAAGAGGACUGCCGAAGGAACAACAUCUGCGGGUGAAGAUGUUCCUUCCCUGGCAGAUUUGGAUGGAAAUAACCCGGCUGCCCACCAUCUCAUGGUUCUCCAGCUAAGAGGAUGAAUAACGACUGUUGCCCUCUCUGGUGGACGAUAUGGAGACUCAACACUAGGUGGCACCAUUUCAACUUUAUUGGCUCCUUGGAGCUUGGUGGAAGUAAGAAAAGUAAGACCGUUCAUUGAUGCUGAGGGGGAAAAAUAGUGGUAAAUAAAGUGUCACUAUGGUUAUAUCUGUAUUUGUGUAUUUAUUAAAAAUAAUAUGAGAAAGUUGAUAAA